AAGAGAAGAACGCUGGAGGAAGGA
rnacentral:piRNA from 1 species